rnacentral:piRNA from 1 species
UCCUUCCCUAGGCCUAGGGCCCCAGCCUGC